rnacentral:rRNA from 1 species
GAUGAACGCUGGCGGCGUGCUUAACACAUGCAAGUCGAACGGAAAGGCCCAAGCUUGCUUGGGUACUCGAGUGGCGAACGGGUGAGUAACACGUGGGUGAUCUGCCCUGCACUUCGGGAUAAGCCUGGGAAACUGGGUCUAAUACCGGAUAGGACGAUGGUUUGGAUGCCAUUGUGGAAAGUUUUUGCGGUGUGGGAUGAGCUCGCGGCCUAUCAGCUUGUUGGUGGGGUAAUGGCCUACCAAGGCGUCGACGGGUAGCCGGCCUGAGAGGGUGUACGGCCACAUUGGGACUGGGAGACGGCCAAGAGUCGUACGGGAGGCAGCAGUGGGGAAUAUUGGACAAUGGGCGCAAGCGUGAUGCAGCGAGGCCGCGUGGGGGAUGACGGCCUUCGGGUUGUAAACUCCUUUCGCUAGGGACGAAGCGUUUUUGUGACGGUACCUGGAGAAGAAGCACCGGCUAACUACGUG